rnacentral:rRNA from 1 species
AGUGAACGCUGGCGGUAGGCCUAACACAUGCAAGUCGAACGGCAGCACAGUAAGAGCUUGCUCUUACGGGUGGCGAGUGGCGUACGGGUGAGGAAUACAUCGGAAUCUACUUUUUCGUGGGGGAUAACGUAGGGAAACUUACGCUAAUACCGCAUACGACCUACGGUUGAAAGCAGGGGAUCUUCGGACCUUGCGCGAUUGAAUGAGCCGAUGUCGGAUUAGCUAGUUGGCGGGGUAAAGGCCCACCAAGGCGACGAUCCGUAGCUGGUCUGAGAGGAUGAUCAGCAAAACUGGAACUGAGACACGGACCAGACAACUAAGAGAGGCAGCAGUGGGGAAUAUUGGACAAUGGGCGCAAGCCUGAUCCAGCCAUACCGCGUGGGUGAAGAAGGACUUCGGGUUGGAAAGACCUUUUGUUGGGAAAGAAAAGCAGCAGGUUAAUACCCCGCUGUUCUGACGGUACCCAAAGAAUAAGCACCGGCUAACUUCGUG